AUCCCUCGCUGCUAAGCUAUCCCUCGCUGCUAAGCUAUUCCUCGCUGCUAAGCUAUCCCUCGCUGCUAAGCUAUCCCUCACUACUAAGCUAUCUAUCGCUGCUAAUCUAUCGCUGCCAAUCUAUCUAUCACUGCCAAUUUAUCUACCACUGCCAAUCUAUCUAUUGCUGCUAAUCUAUCGCUGCUGUCAAUCUAUCUAUCGCUGCCAAUCUAUCCCUCGCUGCUAAGCUAUCCCUCACUGCUAAGCUAUCCCUCACUGCUAAGCUAUCCCUCGCUGCUAAGCUAUCGCUGCCAACCUAUCUAUCGCUGCCAACCUAUCUAUCGCUGCCAACCUAUCUAUCGCUGCCAACCUAUCUAUCGCUGUCAAUUUAUCUACCACUGCCAAUCUAUCUAUUGCUGCUAAUCUAUCGCUGCUGUCAAUCUAUCUAUCGCUGCUAAUCUAUCUAUCGCUGCUAAUCUAUCGCCGCUGCCAAUCUAUCUAUCGCUGCCAAUCUAUUGCUGCUGCCAAUCUAUUGCUGCUGCCAAUCUAUCUUUCGCUGCUAAUCUAUCGCCACUGCCAAUCUAUCUUUCGCUGCUAAUCUAUCGCCGCUGCCAAUCUAUCCCUCGCUGCUAAGCUAUCCCUCGCUGCUAAGCUAUCCCUCACUACUAAGCUAUCUAUCACUGCUAAUCUAUCGCUGCUAAUCUAUCGCUGCUAAUCUAUCGCUGCCAACCUAUCUACCGCGGCGAAUCUAUCUAUCACUAUCAUUACUAGUUCAAAAUAGAACUAGAGCAUAAAUACACUAAACUUCUUUUGAUAGGUAAUGAUUUUUGGUAACGCUCAUAGCAUUAUAUCAUCUAUAUAGGGUAAAUCAUGGUCCCAUUUGGUCCCAUUUUAACAAAAUGGGACCAAAUGGGACCAGAAUCAGUAAUUUAUAAGAAGAACAUGACC
rnacentral:sRNA from 1 species